GAUCCUGGCUCAGGAUGAACGCUAGCUACAGGCUUAACACAUGCAAGUCGCGGGGUAACAUCUGGUAGAGCUUGCUCUUCCAGGAUGACGACCGGCGCACGGGUGAGUAACGCGUAUCCAACCUGGCCCAUACCACGGGAUAGCCCGUCGAAAGGCGGAUUAAUACCGUAUGCUGUCAUUAAGAUGCAUAUAUUGAUGACGAAAGGACUGGCGGUAUGGGAUGGGGAUGCG
rnacentral:rRNA from 1 species